rnacentral:rRNA from 1 species
CACGUAGGGCGCAAGCGUUGUCCGGAAUUAUUGGGCGUAAAGAGCUCGUAGGCGGUGUGUCACGUCGAUCGUGAAAACUUACAGCUUAACUGUGAGCGUGCGGUCGAUACGGGCAUCACUGGAGUUCGGCAGGGGAGACUGGAAUUCCUGGUGUAGCGGUGAAAUGCGCAGAUAUCAGGAGGAACACCAGUGGCGAAGGCGGGUCUCUGGGCCGAUACUGACGCUGAGGAGCGAAAGCGUGGGGAGCGAACAGG